GUAGGUGAACCUGCGGAAGGAUCAUUACCGAGUGAGGGCCCUCUGGGUCCAACCUCCCACCCGUGUUUAUUUACCUUGUUGCUUCGGCGAGCCUGCCUUUUGGCUGCCGGGGGACGUCAGUCCCCGGGUCCGUGCUCGCCGGAGACACCUUAGAACUCUGUCUGAAGAUUGUAGUCUGAGAUUAAAUAUAAAUUAUUUAAAACUUUCAACAACGGAUCUCUUGGUUCCG
rnacentral:misc_RNA from 1 species